rfam:Arabidopsis thaliana chromosome 5, complete sequence.
AAACCAUGAUGAGGAUAAUCACAUUCGUAGUCCUUAAAUCGUUCCCAUGCUUCAUAGAAGGAUUCGACCAGUCCUUGUUGGAAUCCUUGCAGCUUGUUCCUCAAAGAGU